rnacentral:rRNA from 1 species
AUUGAACGCUGGCGGCAGGCUUAACACAUGCAAGUCGAGCGAGCGGCGGACGGGUGAGUAAUGUCUGGGAAACUGCCUGAUGGAGGGGGAUAACUACUGGAAACGGUAGCUAAUACCGCAUACCAUCAGAUGGGCCCAGAUGGGAUUAGCUAGUAGGUGGGGUAAUGGCUCACCUAGGAGACGAUCCCUAGCUGGUCUGAGAGGAUGACCAGCAACAGUGGAACUGAGACACGGGCCAGACUCCGACGGGGGGCAGCAGUGGGGAAUAGUGCACAGUGGGCGCAAGCCUGAGGCAGCCAUGCCGCGUGUGUGAAGAAGGCCUUCGGGUUGUAAAGCACUUUCAGCGAGGAGGCGUUACUCGCAGAAGAAGCACCGGCUAACUCCGUGCCAGCAGCCGCGUAAUUC